AAAAAAAAAAAAAAAAAAUUAGUUUUAAUAUGAAUUUAAAAAAGAAAUUAAAGUUAGAAAAAAAAAUUCUAAUAUUAAAAUAAAUGUAUUUAUACAUUUUUUUUUUAUUAUGAAUUAUUUAUUUUAAAAAUAAGUUUGAAUAAGUUUUUUAUUUAUAUAUAUAUAUUAAGUAUGUAUAUAUAUCUAUUAAACUUUUUGAACUUAGUUUAUUUUAACAUUUUUAUUUUUAUAUUAAAACAAUUAUAUUUAAGUUAAAUAAUUUUAAAUAAACUUUUUUUUUUUUUCUUUUUUGAUAAUAUAUAUUUUUAAAUAUUAAUAAAAUAUUAUGAAAAAGAAAUAAGUUAAAUCAAUAAAUAUCAAGAAAAAUAUGUAAUAAUAAAAUAAGUUCGCUAAUAUUGGAAAAUUCAGAAGGAAAAAGAAUGUUUUCUUUUUUCUAAGUUCAAAAAUAUAAUAUAGUUAUAUAUAAACAGUAAAAUAAAUUAAGCAUUAUUUUUUGGUACAUUUAAAAUUAUCUAUUUUUUUUUAAUAGACCAUUUUGUUAAAAUUUUUGCUUCAUAUGAGGUGAAAGUUUUAUAUUAAGAAGAAAAAAAAUACAUUAAUAAAUAAAAAAUUAAGGUAUUUUUUUUAAUGUAAAUCUGUUAAUUUAUAUACUAUAUAUUUAUAACUUGAUUAUAAAAUAAAGCAUCAUAAUAAUUAUAAUAUUUUUUAUAUAAAUAAAUUAUAUUUAUAAUUUAUUAGGUGUUCUAUGUCUUU
rnacentral:sRNA from 1 species